AUACUGGAAAAUAUCUAACUUAGAGAAACAAAAGAAUUCUAGAAAUUCUCUACUCUAGGUGUUUGAGGUUACGUGUCAUUCCUAUUUGCGUGCGUCUAUACAUGUUCCAAAAGAUACCCAUUUGUCAUGUUCACGUGAAUUAAAAAUAAAAGUAUAGUUAAAAUUUCUCACAAGCUGAGUAAAAAGGUAGGCUAUAAAAGAGAUUUGAUAAAAUAAGGGCCAGUAUUCUCAACCGAAACAAGAAUAAAUAGGUGUCUCGUGCUAGAGAGAAAGAUGCGGCUGUGGCAGAAGGACUUGGCUAUGGCGCACCAGAGGGAUCUGGCCGGAAAGAAAAAACUGGUUAGGGCUCUUGUCGAGUCGUUGGAAGCCUAUCUGGUGUCCAGAUGCCAGACCAACUUUCUCUUCGAUUGGGGAGGACUGGGCAAGCUGGGCCGUCUCAUCCAGCUUCUCUACUGUGGUCGUCUCUUUGACAGCCUUCAAGAGCGCGAACUCUACGUCCGGCUGGAUCCCACAAACGGUGUCACCGACGAGGAUCUUCGCUACAUCUCGUCGCUUUCUCUUCGGGUUUUACAAUCCUCCCAGCUGGAGGAACUCGAAGUAUCCCCAGCCAUUCCAAUCCUAGACCGGAUCAUGGACUCGGGCUACUUCCGCUGCCAACCGGUCAUAGAGAGCGUAUACCUCAACACUCCCUCUCGAUCUCGAUGACAUGAAUCUGAGAUCACUCUCCCUCUGCAUCCAAGCACUCUGUCGUAUCCACGACAGAAAUCUGUCUCUGCUCAGUGCCUCCUCUCAGCGCCUCUACCAGUGCAUUCUCACACCAGCGCCUCACUCAGCGCUCGAGUGGAGUCUCUGCUCGGCCAGCCCUCGGGGCCUCGUGCCUCUACGCCCAGCACUCACCUCUAGUGAGUCUCUGCGGGGCCUCGCACGCCCUAGCGCCUCGUUCACGGCCUCUGAUCGCAGUCUCUCCUCUCUCAGCGCCUCUGCCAGUGCCUCUCUGCUCGUGCCUGUGCUCGGUGCCUCACGCCAGCCCUCUCUCAGCGCCUGUGCCAGCGCCUCAGCGCCUUGCUCAGCGCCCUAGUGCAGUCUCUCCGCCUCUCGGCACCUUGCUCAGCGCCCUAGUGCAGUCUCUCCGCCUCUCUGCUUGCCUCUGGACCUGCUCAGUGCCUCCUCUCAGCGCCUCUGCCAGCACCUUCUCACAGCAGCGCCUCACUCAGCGCUCCAGUGGAGUCUCUGCUCGGUGCCUCCUCUCAGCGCCUCUGCCAGCGCCUUCGGCUGCUCUCCAGCGCCUCACUCAGCACUCCAGUACCACUCGGUGCCUCAAGCCAGCCCUCUCUCAGCACCUCUGCCAGCGCCUCCGGGCCAGUCUCUGCUCGAUCACACCCUAGCGCCUUGCUCAGCUUGCUAGUGCCGUUACCUUGGCACUCAAUGCAGCACAGUGCCAAAUCUUGGCACCUCUCAGCCACGUCUGGUGGCUCAUCGUCAUCCUCGCUGGCCUCCUCCUCGGCCAGCGCCAUCGUCCCAGGAUCUGAAGCCCUCAGGGCUCUGAUACCAUGAAGAGAAGAAGAGCGGAAGCUACGAUGGUGGAUGACUC
rnacentral:lncRNA from 1 species